UACGGAGGGUGCGAGCGUUGUCCGGAAUCAUUGGGCGUAAAGGGCGCGUAGGUGGCCCGGUCAGUCUUUGGUGAAAGCGCGGGGCGUCAACCCUGCGUCGGCCAGGGAUACUGCCGCGGCUCGAGCACUGUAGAGGCAGGGCGGAAUUCCGGGGUGUAGCGGUGGAAUGCGUAGAGAUCCGGAAGAACACCGGUGGCGAAGGCGGCCUGCUGGGCAGUUAGCUGACACUGAGGCGCGACAGCGUGGGGAGCAAACAGG
rnacentral:rRNA from 1 species